rnacentral:lncRNA from 1 species
UACUGCCCAACUGUUUCUCUCAGAGUCAGUACUCGAAGGCUUCAGAGCUGGCCAGGCACCCAGUCCAGGAGGAAUGUGGUGUGAUCUGAGAGAUGAAAAUACAUGCCCCCUUAUAGACUAAGACAGACUGUAAGGUUAAGGAAACAAAAGUUAGCUACUUGUCCAGGGUUCAGGGCUCAUCUGGCAUGGCAACUUCCUGAAUUCCUAUGGCUACAGGAAAAACCACACUCUUGCUAAACUCCUUAACAAUAGGAGCUAGCAAGCAAAUUGUCAAAAUCUUCCCAGCCCUUCUCAACUGGAUUUACAAGCCAGAUCACUAGAGCUCUGAUGGGACAGAGGAGUGGCCUUCCAUUCUUUCCUAAUAAGCAACUGCAGAUAUCAAGCCAGUUUCAGCCAUGUUACAGGGACUGCACACAAACCAACUUCGUGUCCAGUAGUUCACCUUUUGAUAUAAAGAGCCAAUUUCUGCCUUAUUUUAUGCUAAAAUCCCUUCCCCAUCUGUGAAGAUGGGGUGCAUGUUACAUAUAUGUUUACCCAUUGCACAUGAGCUCAAUACUCCUCAGAAAUGGUGUUUCCCCAAACCUACUGAAUAUGUAUGACUCUAUUGUGUGAUACACACCCUGUGAGGCACAAAAACCAACCUGCCCUCUCUCUCUGUCUCUGAAGAGAAAGUGCCUCUUCAAAGACACACACCGGAGACUGUCACUUCCUGGACUGCAAACUUAUAUCACCAAUAAAAUUCUUACUACUAUUUAGCCACCCUGGAGGACUUUGAGAGGACAGUCAGAUGGUCAGAGAUGAGUCAGUCUGAAUCCUGCUCCCAGGGCCAAAAACAUUGACAUAGAAGGAAGGCGCUUAAGCACAAAAUAUGAUUUAAAGAGUUUGUUUGAGCCAAUGUGAAUGUAGUUGCCCGGAAGGCUCAGACCCAAACAAUAUUGGAUAUCGGUUCUAUUUGGCCUUUGUUACAAGCAGGUUUGUAAAGACCAAAAAGGGAGUCAGGGAGUUGGCUGGUAAAAAGUUGCUUGUCAGGAACUCCCAGUGGUUUACAGAAAUAACAUUGAUUAGCUAUACAUUGUUCAGCUACAGGGAGUGAGAGAUGGUGUCCAGAGCAGCAUGUUUAGGUUACUUUAUAGCUAACUGUGGCAAUAGCAAGCAGUUUCAGUGGAUGCAUACAUAGCUCAAAAGUGGGGAAGUGGCCGGUGGUGGUGG